UCAUAAUUUUUGUCUUUGCUCUUCACCAAAGGAAGCAGCAUUUGGAACAAAUGUCAAGAUGCCUGCAUCUGUAUGUUUCUCUCACAGGAGGGUCCUGAUGCUGGGCUGGUGAGCCUGCCACUCCCUUGCUCACCCCUGCCUGCGUCUCUUUCUGUACUGAUGGUUGUCCACUGGGGCAGCGGAGCCCCUGACUUCUCUCCAUGAGCUCUCAAGGGAGGAUCAUCAACACAUAUCAGUUACUUUCCAUUGCUACAAGAAAAUGCCCGAGGUAAACAAUCCAAGGUGGAAAGGUUCAUCUGUGCCCACAGUUUCGGAGGUUUCUAACCAUGGUUGCUUGGCUCUGAUGUUGCAGAGUGAUGUGUAAACCUAAUUAAUCUUAUCAAUAAAAACUAGGAGUCAGAUAUCGGGGUAAAAGCUGAAAGAUCAGAGAAGCAGGGGAACAGCCAGUCACUUCCUCUCCAGAUCCUCCAACCAAAAGGGCUGAGAUCCUGUCUCUGACCCACCUUAUCACUUCCUGUCUCCUAUCUGUACAGACCUCCUGGCCUCUAUGGUUAACUAGUGGCUAGCUCCGCCCUCUGACAUCAAGCAAGCUUUAUUUGUCAGAACAAUGUCACCCAGCAGCAGGUCUGUGGAGAGUUGUGCGUCUGACAGCGAGUGGGGAACAGAGGAGGCACCUCACUGCUAGUGAGCAGGAAGGAGACAGAAAGCUGGGGUGAAAUAAUCCUGCAAAGGGUGCUGUCUGCCUUGCUUUCCUGCGACAGGGUCUCCCUAGAUGAUUGGACUAGGCUGGCUGAUCAGCCGUGAAAUGACCAUGGGAUCCACUCCUGCUUCCUGAUGACAAAAAUAAAAGUGUGUGGUACAACA